CAGCACCUCAAGUGGUCAGGAUGAUUAUUGGGCCUAAAGCAUCCGUAGCCGGCGCUGUAAGUUUUCGGUUAAAUCUGUACGCUCAACGUACUGGCUGCCGGGAAUACUGCAGCGCUAGGGAGUGGGAGAGGUAGACGGUACUCGGUAGGAAGGGGUAAAAUCCUUUGAUCUAUUGAUGACCACCUGUGGCGAAGGCGGUCUGCCAGAACACGUCCGACGGUGAGGGAUGAAAGCUGGGGGAGCAAACCGGAUUAGAUACCCGAGUAGUCC
rnacentral:rRNA from 1 species